GGCCCAGCUUUGAAGUACAGUAGAUCAGUAGGGUCAGCUGAUACUAAUGAUCUACUAUACUUCAAAUUUGGGCCC
rfam:Haemonchus contortus, ISE/inbred ISE, WGS project CAVP01000000 data, contig: Hcontortus_contig_pathogens_Hcontortus_scaffold_6319